rnacentral:rRNA from 14 species
GUUUGAUCCUGGCUCAGAUUGAACGCUGGCGGCAUGCCUUACACAUGCAAGUCGAACGGUAACAGGGAGCUUGCUCCGCUGACGAGUGGCGAACGGGUGAGUAAUACAUCGGAACGUGCCCAGUAAUGGGGGAUAGCUCGGCGAAAGCCGGAUUAAUACCGCAUACGCCCUGAGGGGGAAAGUGGGGGAUCGCAAGACCUCACGUUAUUGGAGCGGCCGAUGGCUGAUUAGCUAGUUGGUAGGGUAAAGGCCUACCAAGGCGACGAUCAGUAGCUGGUCUGAGAGGACGAUCAGCC